GAUGAACGCUGGCGGCGUGCUUAACACAUGCAAGUCGAACGGAAAGGCCCUGCUUUUGUGGGUUGCUCGAUUGGCGAACGGGUGAGUAACACGCGAGUAACCUGCCCUUGACUUUGGGAUAACUUCUGGAAACUGGGGCUAAUACCGGAUAGGAGCUCCUGCUGCACGGGGGGGGUUGGAAAGUUUCGGCGGUUGGGGAUGGUCUCGCGGGUUAUCAGCUUGUUGGUGGGGUAGUGGCUUACCAAGGCUUUGACGGGUAGCCGGCCUGAGAGGGUGACCGGCCACAUUGGGACUGAGAUACGGCCCAGACUCCUACGGGAGGCAGCAGUGGGGAAUCUUGCACAAUGGGCGGAAGCCUGAUGCAGCAACGCCGCGUGCGGGAUGACGGCCUUCGGGUUGUAAACCGCUUUCGCCUGUGACGAAGCGUGAGUGACGGUAAUGGGUAAAGAAGCACCGGCUAACUACGUG
rnacentral:rRNA from 1 species